AACGCACAUUGCGCCCCCUGGUAUUCCGGGGGGCAUGCCUGUCCGAGCGUCAUUGCAACCUUCAAGCGCGGCUUGUGUGUUGGGCCUCGUCCCCCGUGGACGGGCUCGAAAGGCAGUGGCGGCGCCCGAUCCGGUGCCUGAGCGUAUGGGGAACUUCUCCGCUCUUCAAGGCCCGGUCGGCGCUGGUCGAUAACUAAAUUUUUACCGGUUGACCUCGGAUCAGGUAGGGAUACCCGCUGAACUUAA
rnacentral:misc_RNA from 1 species